rnacentral:rRNA from 1 species
GACGAACGCUGGCGGCGUGCUUAACACAUGCAAGUCGAACGGAAAGGCCCUGCUUUUGUGGGGUGCUCGAGUGGCGAACGGGUGAGUAACACGUGAGUAACCUGCCCUUGACUUUGGGAUAACUUCAGGAAACUGGGGCUAAUACCGGAUAGGAGCUCCUGCUGCAUGGUGGGGGUUGGAAAGUUUCGGCGGUUGGGGAUGGACUCGCGGCUAUCAGCUUGUUGGGGGGGUAGUGGCUUACCAAGGCUUUGACGGGUAGCCGGCCUGAGAGGGUGACCGGCCACAUUGGGACUGAGAUACGGCCCAGACUCCUACGGGAGGCAGCAGUGGGGAAUAUUGCACAAUGGGCGGAAGCCUGAUGCAGCAACGCCGCGUGCGGGAUGACGGCCUUCGGGUUGUAAACCGCUUUCGCCUGUGACGAAGCGUGAGUGACGGUAAUGGGUAAAGAAGCACCGGCUAACUACGUG